rnacentral:lncRNA from 1 species
AGGAAAGUGACAUGCUGUUGCUGAUAUGUUCUUCUAACAUAUGACCCAGUAACUUUUUUCUUCCAUGCUCCAAUGGUUCGAAUGCCUGUGCAAGGUAAUACAGGAAACACACACUGGCAUUGGCAGCAUUCUGGGCACGGGAAAUUUGGGGUCUAGAGAAGAAACUGGUGAUGGCCUUCUGUCAGGAUUCUGUGCUCAGACACUAAUGUGCUGAACUGCAUGGUUUCCACUGUGAAGAGGAAUGGCAUGUCAGGCAUCAUGAGGACCCCUGAUUCAGUGAAUAGGAACGCAGUUGAAGUUUAUUCAAGCAUUUCUCUGUUUUAGCUUCUUGCACUCUUCCAUUGAUCAUACUCUGCACAUUGGUGGGGACAGAAAAGUCAUGUGGUUCCUGUCAAUGACCAGUACAUGAAGCUGGUGAAAUUUUGAUCCUCAUAGGUAUCUGUAGAAGAGCCUGAGUGUUCAGGAAGCUCCCAUGUCAGGUAUCCAGGCUAGCAGCUUAAUCUCUCCUAUUCCUCAUGCUGAAAAUGGCACCUACCUCAAGGCUGUAGGUGUCAGUUUCCCUGUUUAUAAGCUGUUGCCACUUGGUGAUCUGACCCAUCUGCCAUUUGGUCCUCUCAGAGGGGAAAUUACAUGGUCUCAAAAUGACCUUGCCUGUGCUUUCAAGCAGAGAGUGUUACAGACACAACCGUGAGGGAUUUAUACAUCUUGUAUAGUACUCCAGCUACUGCAGCUGUUACAGGAUAAGGGGAAGCCACAGUUUGAGGAGGGGAGGGCACACUGCUUUCCGUAUUUCAGGCUACCUAAGAAUUCAAGCAGGAAUGCAAGGAAUCUCCAGAAUAUGACAGAGGAAAACAAUGCACAUCGAUAAAUGUCCUAUGAGCAUAUAUGGCCCAUUGCAAAGUUGAGACAUUGAUGAAAGGGACAGGUCAUUAUUUUCCAUAUCCUCAGUGAAUGAUGGGCUUCUAUAUGGUCACGUAGUUCAAUAAUGUGAUGGACUUCUGCAAAGUUACUGCUGUCACUUUUGCUGAUGCUGUUGUAUCCUCACUGAUGCCAUACACUGUAGGCACUCAUCUUGGUCAUAAUCCAGAGUGUUCUCCCAUAGGUUUAUUGCAAGUCGUGAGCACUACCUGUGAUACGCAUUUCCCGUUAUCUUACUCAAGAGGGCUGAGCUGAGAUGCUCGUUUCAACUGCUUAAGUUAUUUUCUCUUUACCUAGUGCUCAUGCAGGUCAUACAUUUUUGCCGCCAAUCCUUUUCCACAAUUAGAAAAGAAGAGGGCACAGAAGUUUCUCUACUUCAGGCUACCUAACAGGUCAAGCAGGAAUGUCAAGAAUCUGCUGCAUAUGAGGAAAACACAGACAGUUCAAGGACUAGGGACUUUGAUAUGAAAGUUGCAGUGGGCACUAGGGUUCAGGGAAGUGCCCCCAAUUCCCUUUUUCCCUUCCCUCACAGUACAUUUGGAGUACCAUGACUGGAGGACACAGGACAACAUUGCACAUCCACAGAUGUCAUACGAGCAUACAUGGCCCACUGGCAAACGUCAGGCAUGAAUGAUGGGGACAGGUUAUUUUCCAUUUUCCCAGUGUGUGGUGGACUUGUCUGUUGGUGAAGGCAUUGCUGCCUCAGCCUUCUUCUGUGUAUUACUUUAGGCCUGUAAAAAAUGGCCACAGAGGUAGGUGACCCUUCACUCAAUUAUACUGUUACAUAGUACUAUAAUGUGGAGAACUUCUGCAAAGUUACUACUGUUGCUUUUGCUGAUGCUGUUGUAUCCACACGAAUGGGAUGCACUGUAUGCCCUCAUCUUGGUCAUAAUCCAGGGUGUUCUCCAAUAGCUUUAUUUCAAGUCUUGAGCACUGCCUGUGAUACGCAUUUCCCGCUAUCAUUCUCAGGAGGGCUGAGCUGAGAUGCUGGUUUCAACUGCUUAAGUUAUUUUCUCUUUACUUAGUUCUCAUGCAGGCCAAACAUUUUUGCUGUCAAUCCUUUUCCACAAUUUGAGCAGGGGAGGGCAGAGGGUUUCCCUGCUUCAGGCUACCUAACAGGUCAAGCAGACAUGUCAAGAAUCUCCUGCAUAUGAGGAAAAUACAGACAGUUUAGAGGACUAGGGACUUUGAUGUGAUAGUUACAGUGGGCAUUAGGGUUCAGCGAAGUGCCUCCUGUCCCUUUUCCUCUUCCCUGACAGUACCUUUGGAGCAACAUGGCUGGAGGACACAGGACAACAAUGCAUAUCGACCGAUGUGACAUGAACAUACAUGGUCCAGUGGCAAACAUCAGAAAUGGAUGAUGGGGACAGAUUCUUAUUUUCCCUUUUUCCGGUGACUGGUGGGCUUGUCUGCUGGUGAAGGCGUUGUGCCUCAGCCUUCUUCUGUUUAUUGCUUUAGGCCUUUGAAAAAUGGCUACAGACGUACGAGGCCAUUCACCCUAUUAUAUUGUAAUAUAAUACUAUAAUGUGGAGGACUUCUGAAAAGUUACUGCUGUUGCUUUUGCUGAUGCUUUUGUAUCCUCAUCGAUGCAAUGCACUGUGUGCCUUCAUCUUGGUGAUAAUCCAGGGUGUUUUCCCAUAGCUUCAUUGCAAUCUUGAGCACUGCCUGUGAUAUGCAUUUCCCGCUAUCUUUCUCAGGAGGGCUAAGCUGAGAUGUUGGUUUCAACUGCUUAAGUUAUUUUCUCUUUACCUAGUUCUCAUGCAGGCCAUACAUUUUUGCAGCCAAUCCUUUUCCACAAUGUAAGAAGAGGAGGGCACAGGGGUUUCCCUAGUUCAGGCUACCUAACAGGUCAAGCAGGAAUGUCAAGAAUCUCCUGCAUAUGAGGAAAAUACAGACAGUUCAGAAGACAAGGGUAUUUGAUGGGAAAGUUGCAGAGGGCAUUAGGGUUCAGCGAAGUGCCUCCUGUCCCGUAUCCCCUGACCUUACAGUACCUUUGGAGCAGCAUGGCUAGAGGACACAGGACAACAAUGCAUAUCGACUGAUGUGAUAUGAGCAUACAUGGUCUACUGGCAAACGUCACACAUGGAUGAUGGGGGCAGGUUCUUAUUUUCCAUUUCCCACUGAGUGGUGGGCUUGUCUGUUGGUGAAGGCGUUGCUGCAUCAGCCUUCUUUUGUGUAUUGCUAAAGGCCUGUGAAAAAUGGCCACAGAGAUAGGUGACCCUUCACUCACUUAUAUUGUUACACAGUACUAUAAUGUGGAGGACUCCUGCAAUGUUACUGCUCUUGCUUUUGCUGAUUUGUUGUAUCCAUACUGAUGCGACGCACUAUGUGCCUUCACCUUGGUGAUAAUCCAGGGUGUUUUCCUAUAGCUUUUUUGCAAGUCUUGAGCACUGCCUGUGAUACACAUUUCCCUCUAUCUUUCUCAGGAGGGCUGAGCUGAGAUCCUGGUUUCAACUGCUUAAGUUAUUUUCUCUUUACCUAGUUCUUGUGCAGGCCAUACAUUUUUGCUGCCAAUCCUUUUCCACAAUUUGAGAAGAGGAGCGGGUUUCCCUACUUCAGUCUACCUAACAGUUCAAGCAGGAAUGUCAAGAAUCUCCUGCACAUGAGGAAAAUACAGACAGUUCAGAGGACAAGGGUCUUUGAUGUGAACGUUGCAAUGGGCAUUAGGAUUCAGGGAAGUGCCUUCUGUCCUUUUUCCCCUUUCUCACAGUACCUUUGGAGCAGCAUACCUGGAGGACACAGGACAACAAUGCACAUCAAAGGCUGUGAUAUGUGCAUAUAGUGCCCACUGGCAAACGUCACACAUGGAUGAUGGGGACAGGUUGUUAUUUUCCGUUUUCCCAGUGAGUGGUGGCCUUGUCUGUUGGUGAAGGCGUUGCUGCCUCAGCCUUCUUCUGUGUAUUGCUUUAAGCCUGUGAAAAAUGGCCACAGAGGUAGGUGGCGCUUCUCCCUCUUAUAUUGUUACAUAGUGCUAUAAUGUGGAGGACUUCUGCAAAGUUACUGCUGUUACUUUUGCUGAUGCUGUUGUAUCCUCACUGAUAGGCUGUAUACCCUCAUCUUGUUAAUAAUCCAGGGUGUUCUCUUGUAGCUUUAUUGGCAUUCUGGACACUGCCUGUGAUGUGCAUUUCCUUCUAUGUUUCUCAGGAGGGCUGAGCUGAGGUUCUAGUUUCAACUGCUUAAGUUUCCUCUUUACCUUGUUCUCAUGCCUGCCAAUUAUUUUGGCUGCCUGUCCCCUUUUAUUCAUGAUUGUAAAAUUGGCAAGAGGCUUACUUAGCUUUCAAAAAGAUUUGCAUGCUUUGCAAAGAAGCAGAGGAAGAAUUUACAAGUUUUCCAAAGUAAAUCUUCUUAAAAAAGGGAAUUGUUAGGUCUAUUCUUUUUUCACCAGGGAGAUUUAAACUUUUAUUUCUUAUUUUCCUUUGUAUUUGCCCUUUCAACAUGCUGCCAUGUGAUACCAGUUCCCCCAAUUUGCCCUUCACAAUGAUGACUCCUGUGUCCUUGCUCAAGCCAGGCAUGUGCAGAGAAGUUCCUCAUGUGGGACUUGUGCAAACAGGACCUCAAGGACAAAUAAUAAGUAUGAGCACUUGCCCAUUUUCUAGCCUGUGCAUGCUUUUACCCAUACCAGUGUUUUUAUGAAGGGUUCUUUAUAACCAGUUGGAGUGAGGAAUCAAACCAUUAGCCUUGUUUACAGAUGGCUUAAAUUGACAUGUUGAUGUCAAUGGUCUGUUGACAAGUGGGGCUGUACAAUUUAUCUCAUAUCCUCCUGUCCUUGAGUCCUAAAUGAGCAGAGGUUUGGUUUCCUGUAGUAGACAGACAUUUACUUUGUAUGACUUGUUAUAUCUACCGCCUGAUAGAAUUUUUGGCUGUAGAUGAGGACCCAGUUCCUCUCUUCUGGAUAUUUAGUGCAUGGGCCUCUCCAAAAGGUAUGAAAGAAUGUGCAAAAUGUAUGCACUCCCAUACAGUUUGAAUCAGUUCCUCCAGAUCCCUCUGGAUUGGAGUUUGUCCUCUCAGCCCAUUGUGCUGACUCCAGUCAUGCAGUAUAUGGAUUGCUGACAGCUGCCAGGGUGGCCACCCAACAGUUUAGAUUUGUGUUGGUCUUCUGAGCUUUCUUUGUACCUUCGUAUUCACAUGCAAACCUAGUGUAGUGCUGCUUAAUUUGAGAAAAGAAUAGCAGUGGGCUGUAUUCAGUGAAUCCUAGUGGGAUUCAUGGAUUUUCCCGGUCUCCCCAUCAGUCAGACAUGAUGCCUUACAGAAUGCUAGAAAGGCCUGUUGUAGACUCCACUCCAGUGUCAGCUUGGACUACUAGUUCUGCAGUCAACAUGCUGAUCUACAGGAUGUGGAAUAUAAUUUAAGCCAGAAAACAAGCACCUGUGCUUCUCCAAAGUCCAGAAAUGGUGGAUCUGGGAACCUGGGGUUAGAGGUAAGCAUAGAACUUUUUAUGAUUACAGAUGAAUUCUCCUCACCAAAUGUUUUUAGAUUUUAGAACACAAGGAAAGGAGAAUGGUUCUCCAUGGGAAAUGGGUAAUGCCAUUACUGCUUCCAUAUUAUUUUUUGCCUUGAUUCUUCAAUUUACAUGUAGUAUUUUACAUUGGCAGUGUUUAAGGUUAACGUUUAGUCCAUAGGUUUUUGAAUUUCAUCAAAUCCAACAGUUCUACAGAAGCCAUGCACUUCAUCUGGAGGACUUUGUCUCAAGGAAUGGCCCCAUGACACCAGCUAUUUAUACAUACAAACAGGAAUUGACUUUGGGAUUGGCUUGGACUUUGGGUUGUUUUCAUUGUUCAUGAUAUGUGCUUUAGUACUUACUCAAGAGAUGGUUUUAAAUAUUUUACAUACGGGGACGGGUCAAAACAUGUAUGUACUGUAUCUAUGUACUGGGGUGGAAGGCAGCAGUCUCAGGCUGAUUGGUCUGUCCAGGAAGCAGCUUUUCUCUGAGACCUUUCCACACCCUUCUGUUUCCUAUGUGACUGGCCAUAGCUACUUGGUUUGGUACCUUUCACCUCACCCUAGUUGAGCCAGUCAUGCUCUUGAAAUUAGACUGAAGAAUGAGUGACAACCUGUUAAGUCUCGUUAAUACUUUUUCACUACAGAUAAUGUAAUUUAGAAGUCCUGCCAUUGAGUUCACCUCAAUCGGCCUCAUUUCUGUGUUUUCAAAGUGUUUGUCACUUUGGUUUCUUGCAUUUUAUAAAAUAUUUGUG